rnacentral:rRNA from 1 species
GAUGAACGCUGGCGGCGUGCCUAAUACAUGCCAGUCGAGCGAACAGAUGAGGAGCUUGCUCCUCUGACGUUAGCGGCGGACGGGUGAGUAACACGUGGAUAACCUACCUAUAAGACUGGGAUAACUUCGGGAAACCGGAGCUAAUACCGGAUAAUAUAUUGAACCGCAUGGUUCAAUAGUGAAAGACGGUUUUGCUGUCACUUAUAGAUGGAUCCGCGCCGCAUUAGCUAGUUGGUAAGGUAACGGCUUACCAAGGCAACGAUGCGUAGCCGACCUGAGAGGGUGAUCGGCCACACUGGAACUGAGACACGGUCCAGACUCCUACGGGAGGCAGCAGUAGGGAAUCUUCCGCAAUGGGCGAAAGCCUGACGGAGCAACGCCGCGUGAGUGAUGAAGGUCUUCGGAUCGUAAAACUGUGUUAUUAGGGAAGAACAAAUGUGUAAGUAACUAUGCACGUCUUGACGGUACCUAAUCAGAAAGCCACGGCUAACUACGUG